rnacentral:rRNA from 1 species
CCUACGGGAGGCAGCAGUGGGGGAUAUUGCACAAUGGGGGAAACCCUGAUGCAGCGACGCCGCGUGGGUGAAGAAGCGCCUCGGCGCGUAAAGCCCUGUCAGCAGGGAAGAAAAUGACGGUACCUGAAGAAGAAGCCCCGGCUAAAUACGUGCCAGCAGCCGCGGUAAUACGGAGGGGGCAAGCGUUAUCCGGAUUUACUGGGGGUAAAGGGGGCCCAGACGGCGAUGCAAGCCAGGAGUGGAAGCCCGGGGCCCAACCCCGGGACUGCUCUUGGAACUGCGUGGCUAGAGUGCAGGAGGGGCAGGCGGAAUUCCUGGUGUAGCGGUGAAAUGCGUAGAUAUCAGGAGGAACACCAGUGGCGAAGGCGGCCUGCUGGACUGCAACUGACGUUGAGGCCCGAAAGCGUGGGGAGCAAACAGGAUUAGAUACCCUAGUAGUC